UCAGCUAUGAGAACGCUGUGUUAGCAAGCAAAGGACGUUUAUGUCUAACGGUAAUCACACAUUUCAUUCCAGGGACUCCGAAUCAAGUCCGACACCUGAUAAGGUAUCGGACUAGCAAGGAGGACCUCUUCACCAAAAAGAAAUACGCUGCUAAAGCGCUAUGGGAGAAACUCAUCAAAGAACUGGACCUGGAGGGCAAGGUGACCACAGCACAGGUUUCCAAGAAAUGGGAAAACCUCAAAAAGAAAUAUAAGGACCUCAAAACUCCCAAGACUGGGUCAGGGAC